rnacentral:rRNA from 1 species
UACGUAGGGUGCGAGCGUUAAUCGGAAUUACUGGGCGUAAAGCGUGCGCGGGCGGUUUUGUAAGCCAGGUGUGAAAUCCCCCGGGCUCAACCUGGGAAUGGCAUUUGGGACUGCAAGGCUGGAGUGCGGCAGAGGAGACUGGAAUUCCUGGUGUAGCAGUGAAAUGCGUAGAUAUCAGGAGGAACACCGAUGGCGAAGGCAGGUCUCUGGGCUGACACUGACGCUCAUGCACGAAAGCGUGGGGAG